rnacentral:rRNA from 1 species
UCACCUACGGGGGGCAGCAGUGAGGAAUAUUGGUCAAUGGACGAGAGUCUGAAAAAGCCAAGUAGCGUGAAGGAUGACUGCCCUAUGGGUUGUAAACUUCUUUUAUAUGGGAAUAAAGUUUUCCACGUGUGGAAUUUUGUAUGUACCAUAUGAAUAAGGAUCGGCUAACUCCGUGCCAGCAGCCGCGGUAAUGCGGAGGAUCCGAGCGUUAUCCGGAUUUAUUGGGUUUAAAGGGAGCGUAGGUGGAUUGUUAAGUCAGUUGUGACAGUUUGGGGCUCAACCGUAAAAUUGAAGUUGAAACUGGG